GACGAACGCUGGCGGCGUGCCUAACACAUGCAAGUCGAACGGAACUGUUUUGAAAGCUUUCUUCGGAAUGAAUUUGAUUUAGUUUAGUGGCGGACGGGUGAGUAACGCGUGAGUAACCUGCUUUCAAGAGGGGAAUAACAUUCUGAAAAGAAUGCUAAUACCGCAUGACAUAUCGGAACCACAUGGUUUUGAUAUCAAAGAUUUUAUCGCUUGAAGAUGGACUCGCGUCCGAUUAGUUAGUUGGUGAGGUAACGGCUCACCAAGACCGCGAUCGGUAGCCGGACUGAGAGGUUGAACGGCCACAUUGGGACUGAGACACGGCCCAGACUCCUACAGGAGGCAGCAGUGGGGGAUAUUGCGCAAUGGGGGCAACCCUGACGCAGCAACGCCGCGUGAAGGAUGAAGGUUUUCGGAUUGUAAACUUCUUUUAUUAAGGACGAAAAAUGACGGUACUUAAUGAAUAAGCUCCGGCUAACUACGUG
rnacentral:rRNA from 1 species